rnacentral:rRNA from 1 species
UACGGGGGGAGCAAGCGUUGUUCGGAUUUACUGGGCGUAAAGGGCGCGUAGGCGGUCAGCACAAGUCAGUUGUGAAAUCUCCGGGCUUAACUCGGAAAGGUCAACUGAUACUGUGCGACUAGAGUGCAGAAGGGGCAACUGGAAUUCUCGGUGUAGCGGUGAAAUGCGUAGAUAUCGAGAGGAACACCUGCGGCGAAAGCGGGUUGCUGGGCUGACACUGACGCUGAUGCGCGAAAGCCAGGGGAGCGAACGGG